rnacentral:tRNA from 1 species
GCCAGUGAGGUGUAGUGGUUUUAGUGUCGGACUAUGACUCUGGAGACCAGGGUUUGAAUCUCAGCUCAGCCA